CUCGUAGGCGGUUUGUCGCGUCUGCUGUGAAAAUCCGAGGCUCAACCUCGGACCUGCAGUGGGUACGGGCAGACUAGAGUGUGGUAGGGGAGACUGGAAUUCCUGGUGUAGCGGUGGAAUGCGCAGAUAUCAGGAGGAACACCAAUGGCGAAGGCAGGUCUCUGGGCCACAACUGACGCUGAGGAGCGAAAGCGUGGGGAGCGAACAGGAUUAGAUACCCUGGUAGUCCACGCCGUAAACGGUGGGCACUAGAUGUGGGGCUCUUUCCAUGAGUUCCGCGUCGCAGCUAACGCAUUAAGUGCCCCGCCUGGGGAGUACGGCCGCAAGGCUAAA
rnacentral:rRNA from 1 species